UCUGGGGCAAAGCCGCGAACGGGUGAGUAACACGUGGGUAAUCUACCCCGAUGACCGGGACAACCCGAGGAAACUCGGGCUAAUACCGGAUGUGGUACGGAGACAUAAGUCUCUUUACUAAAGGUAGCUUCGGCUUCCGCAUUGGGAGGGGCCCGCGGCCCAUUAGCUAGUUGUGGGGUCAAGGCCUACCAAGGCAACGAUGGGUAGCUGGUCUGAGAGGACGAUCAGCCACACUGGGACUGAGACACGGCCCAGACUCCUACGGGAGGCAGCAGUGGGGAAUCUUGCGCAAUGCGCGAAAGCGUGACGCAGCAACACCGCGUGAGGGAAGACGGCCUUAGGGUUGUAAACCUCUUCCAGAUGGGACGAAGGUGAUGCGGUGAAUAGCCGAUGUCAUUGACGGUACCGUCAGAAGAAGCUCCGGCUAACUACGUG
rnacentral:rRNA from 1 species